rnacentral:rRNA from 1 species
GACGAACGCUGGCGGCGUGCCUAAUACAUGCAAGUAGAACGCUGAAGGAGGAGCUUGCUCUUCUGGAUGAGUUGCUAACGGGUGAGUAACGCGUAGGUAACCUGCCUGGUACCGGGGUAUAACUUUGGGAAACGAUAGUUAAUACCGCAUAACAGUAGAUGUUUCAGGCCAUUUCCUUAAAAGGUGCAAUUGCAUCACUACCAGAUGGACCUGCGUGGUAAUAGGUACUUGGGGGGGUUCGGCUUACCUAUGCAAUGAUAUUGUCUGACUUUUGUGGUGACCGGCCAUGCUAGACUGGGACCGGCCCGAACUCCCAUGGUAGGGGCGUCUUGGUUUUCGGUAUUGAUGAAUUUUUACUUGCUUUGUUGUGGGAAUAGGGUGACUGAUGGAUGGUUGUUAAUUAAAACAUGGUAAGGGAUGUCUUCGUUUGUUUUUUUGGGAGAAUCGAUACGUGGUAGUUUGGCGUGUUUCGUUCCGCCUGGAGUGGGUGGAUUGUUUUUGGUUGUUUUGGGACUUUGAAUAUGCUUGGGAGUUGUUUUGUUUAAUGUGAUGUUUUUGUGUUGGUGGUUGUUGUGGAGGUGUUGUUUGUGUGUUGGAAUUGGGUUUUUUUUUGUUGUGUUUUUGGUUGGUGGGGGUUUGUUUGUGAUUUGCUUGUAUGUGGUUUGUGUGUGGAGGUGGGGUGUUUGUGUUGUUUGUUGUUGUGAAAUGAUUUCUGUGGUGUGUUUGUUGUUGUGUGUGUUUUUGUGGUUUUUAUUUUUGUGUGUUUGUUUGGG